GAAAGCAGGAGGAGGGAAGAUCAGCCAAUUGCCUGUUGAACCAUGGGCCCUAUGGGCUUUAGCAGCCCAAUCUGCAGUGAGGUUAGCUUCUCGACUAAUAUGAUUGAUCGACGCAUUAGGGUACUGAGAAAGCAAAUCGUCUAGAGCGGCAAAAAGGUGUUGCUCUCGCCAGGGCCGCGGCUGCUUCCGUUGAAGAACCUCCACCAGUCUGAGACAGUCGGAUUCGAUCGUUACACAUUGAAGCUGCAGACCCUGCUUGAUGAGAUGCUGGAGAGCCCUUAUCAUGGCGUAGAUCUCUGCUUGAAACGCCGAUUGCGCAGGUACAGUACUGAUUUUGGGGGUUGAAGACUUUUGAAGAUUUUCCACUGGGUUAUAGCAUUCUCAACCGCUUGGAUGGAAUUCGGAGCUUGCUGGCGGAAGAUGGCGUUGUUCCGUUGGCACCAUAUCUCCCACAAAAGGUUAGCAAUCACUUCGAAAUUGGGGGAAGAGCGAGGAUGCGUCGCUCGGUUAGCCAACCAGGCGUCCAACCUUUUAACUGAGGCCAACCACAGAAAAACUCUGAUCUUGGGAGCUGUGUGCAUAUGCCAUAUCCGUUUCCACAAUUGAUCCGGAGGUUGAUAGGAAGAUGAGGCCGUUGCAGAGGGAUAGAGGGAGCAUAAAAAGGGACAUGGCGUACUGGGGAAAACAUCUCGCAUUUUGAACGGCCCCAAUCCAAGGGAAUACCCAGUGUGGGGAGCCAACACUUUAAUCUGUUUGCCAUGACCUUUGCUAUGAUCUUAUAUGCAAAGUUACAGAGACUGAUAGGACGAUACUGUUCAAUGCUUUCAGGGCGAUGAACUUUUGGGACCAAGUGAUGCCUAUAGAAGAGGCCAUGGAGGCCAUCGGGACCGUGGGGCCUUGGAAGGACC